AGAACGAACGCUGGCGGCAGGCUUAACACAUGCAAGUCGAACGCUCGUAGCAAUACGGGAGUGGCAGACGGGUGAGUAACGCGUGGGAACAUACCCUCCGGUUCGGAAUAGCUCAGGGAAACUUGGAUUAAUACCGGAUACGGCCGAGAGGCGAAAGAUUUAUCGCCGGAGGAUUGGCCCGCGUUCGAUUAGCUAGUUGGUGAGGUAACGGCUCACCAAGGCGAUGAUCGAUAGCUGGUCUGAGAGGAUGAUCAGCCACAUUGGGACUGAGACACGGCCCAAAACUCCUACGGGAGGCAGCAGUGGGAAUAUUGGACAAUGGGCGCAAGCCUGAUCCAGCCAUGCCGCGUGAGUGAUGACGGCCUUAGGGUUGUAAAAGCUCUUUCGCUCGGGACGAUAAUGACGGUACCGAGAUAAAGAAGCCCGGCUAACUUCGUGCCAGCAGCCGC
rnacentral:rRNA from 1 species